CCUACGGGGGGCAGCAGUGGGGAAUAUUGGGCAAUGGAGGAAACCCUGACCCAGCAACGCCGCGUGAAUGAUGAAGGUCUUCGGAUUGUAAAGUUCUUUUCUAAGGGACGAAGAAAGUGACGGUACCUUAGGAAUAAGCCUCGGCUAACUACGUGCCAACAGCCGCGGUAAUACGUAGGAGGCAAGCGUUAUCCGGAAUGACUGGGCGUAAAGGGUGCGUAGGUGGUUUGACAAGUUGGUAGCGUAACUCCGAGGCUUAACCUCUGCACUACUACCAAAACUGUUGUACUCGAGUGCAGGAGGGGCAAAUGGAAUUCCUAGUGUAGCGGUGGAAUGCGUAGAUAUUAGGAGGAACACCAGUGGCGAAGGCGAUUUGCUGGACUGUAACUGACACUGAGGCACGAAAGCGUGGGGAGCAAACAGGAUUAGAUACCCGAGUAGUC
rnacentral:rRNA from 1 species